rnacentral:rRNA from 1 species
GACGAACCGUGCAAACGUUGUUCGGAAUCACUGGGCUUAAAGGGCGCGUAGGUGGAUGAGCAAGUCCGUGGUGAAAUCCCCCGGCUUAACCGGGGAACUGCCGUGGAUACUGCCCAUCUCGAGGAGGGUAGGGGCGUCUGGAACUAGCGGUGGAGCGGUGAAAUGCGUUGAUAUCGCUAGGAACUCCGGUGGCGAAGGCGAGACGCUGGACCCUUUCUGACACUGAGGCGCGAAAGCCAGGGGAGCGAACGGG